rnacentral:rRNA from 1 species
GACGAACGCUGGCGGCACGCUUAACACAUGCAAGUCGAACGAGAGAAGAGAAGCUUGCUUUUCUGAUCUAGUGGCGGACGGGUGAGUAACACGUGAGCAAUCUGCCUUUCAGAGGGGGAUACCGGUUGGAAACGAUCGUUUAUACCGCAUAACAUAAUUGAACCGCAUGAUUUGAUUAUCAAAGAUUUAUCGCUGAAAGAUGAGCUCGCGUCUGAUUAGCUAGUUGGUAAGGUAACGGCUUACCAAGGCGACGAUCAGUAGCCGGACUGAGAGGUUGAUCGGCCACAUUGGGACUGAGACACGGCCCAGACUCCUACGGGAGGCAGCAGUGGGGAAUAUUGCACAAUGGAGGAAACUCUGAUGCAGCGAUGCCGCGUGAGGGAAGAAGGUUUUAGGAUUGUAAACCUCUGUCUUCAGGGACG